rnacentral:rRNA from 1 species
UACCAGCACCCCGAGUGGUCGGGACGUUUAUUGGGCCUAAAGCAUCCGUAGCCGGUUCUACAAGUCUUCCGUUAAAUCCAACUGCUUAACAGGUGGGCUGCGGAAGAUACUAUAGAGCUAGGAGGCGGGAGAGGCAAGCGGUACUCGAUGGGUAGGGGUAAGAUCCGUUGAUCCAUUGAAGACCACCAGUGGCGAAGGCGGCUUGCCAGAACGCGCUCGACGGUGAGGGAUGAAAGCUGGGGGAGCAAACCGG